AGUGAACGCUGGCGGUAGGCCUAACACAUGCAAGUCGAACGGCAGCACAGUAAGAGCUUGCUCUUACGGGUGGCGAGUGGCGGACGGGUGAGGAAUACAUCGGCAUCUACUUUUUCGUGGGGGAUAACGUAGGGACACUUACGCUAAUACCGCAUACGACCUACGGGUGAAAGCAGGGGAUCUUCGGACCUUGCGCGAUUGAAUGAGCCGAUGUCGGAUUAGCUAGUUGGCGGGGUAAAGGCCCACCAAGGCGACGAUCCGUAGCUGGUCUGAGAGGAUGAUCAGCCACACUGGAACUGAGACACGGUCCAGACUCCUACGGGAGGCAGCAGUGGGGAAUAUUGGACAAUGGGCGAAAGCCUGAUCCAGCCAUACCGCGUGGGUGAAGAAGGCCUUCGGGUUGUAAAGCCCUUUUGUUGGGAAAGAAAAGCAGCAGGUUAAUACCCCGCUGUUCUGACGGUACCCAAAGAAUAAGCACCGGCUAACUUCGUG
rnacentral:rRNA from 1 species